rnacentral:rRNA from 1 species
GGUUGCGAUCAUACCAGCACUAAUGCACCAGAUCCCAUCAGAACUCUGCAGUUAAGCGUGCUUGGGCGAGAGUAGUACUAGGAUGAGGGACUCCCUGGGAAGUUCUCGUGUUAUAACCC